rnacentral:rRNA from 1 species
UACGUAGGGUGCGAGCGUUAAUCGGAAUUACUGGGCGUAAAGCGUGCGCAGGCGGUUCUAUAAGACAGAUGGGAAAUCCCCGGGCUCAACCUGGGAACUGCAUUUGUGACUGUAGAGCUGGAGUGCGGCAGAGGGGGAUGGAAUUCCGCGUGUAGCAGUGAAAUGCGUAGAUAUGCGGAGGAACACCGAUGGCGAAGGCAAUCCCCUGGGCCUGCACUGACGCUCAUGCACGAAAGCGUGGGGAGCAAACAGG